rnacentral:sRNA from 1 species
UCCGUAGGUGAACCUGCGGAAGGAUCAUUACUGAGUUUUGAAAAGAGUUGUAGCUGGUCCUUUUAAUCAAGGGAUAUGUGCACGCUCUGCUCAUCCACUCUUAAACCUUAUGUGCACCUAUGUAGAGUUUUGGUGAAACUUGGUCAAACGAUCAAGGGGGAUCCUAACUCUAUGUCUUUAUACAAACACUUUAGUUAUAGAAUGUUUAUCUUGUGUUUAACACAUUUAUAAUAUAACUUUCAGCAACGGAUCUCUUGGCUCUCGCAUCGAUGAAGAACGCAGCGAAAUGCGAUAAGUAAUGUGAAUUGCAGAAUUCAGUGAAUCAUCGAAUCUUUGAACGCACCUUGCACUCCUUAGUAUUCUGAGGAGUAUGCCUGUUUGAGUGUCAUGAAAUUCUCAACCCUUCGAAAUUUAUUAUAUAGAUUUAGAAGGUUUGGACUUGGAGGUUGUGCUGGCUUUAAUAAAGUACCGGCUCCUCUUAAAUAUAUUAGCGCAAAACUUUAUGGAUCGCUCUUUGGUGUGAUAGUUAUCUACGCCGUUGAUGCGUGAAGUAUUAAAUAUGUUUGUGCUUCUAAUAGUCCUGUAUAGGACAAUUAUUACUUGACAUCUGGCCUCAAAUCAGGUAGGACUACCCGCUGAACUUAAGCAUAUCAAUAAGCGGAGGAAAAGAAACUAACAAGGAUUCCCCUAGUAACUGCGAGUGAAGCGGGAAAAGCUCAAAUUUAAAAUCUGGUAGUCUUUGGCUAUCCGAGUUGUAAUCUGGAGAAGCGUUUUCUGUGCUGGACCGUGUAUAAGUCUCUUGGAAUAGAGCGUCAUAGAGGGUGAGAAUCCCGUCUUUGACACGGACUACCAGUGCUUUGUGAUGCGCUCUCAAAGAGUCGAGUUGUUUGGGAAUGCAGCUCAAAAUGGGUGGUAAAUUCCAUCUAAAGCUAAAUAUUGGCGAGAGACCGAUAGCGAACAAGUACCGUGAGGGAAAGAUGAAAAGCACUUUGGAAAGAGAGUUAAACAGUACGUGAAAUUGCUGAAAGGGAAACGCUUGAAGU